AAAAAUACUAAAUCAAUAAAACUAGAAGAUAAAGCAAAUGGUUAUUGGCAUUGGAUUAUGUUUAGGUAGUAUAAUAAUAGUAACGCUAGGUUGUUGCUAGCAUUCUGGUUAGGCUUUGUAUAUCCAGCUGUGGAGUGUAGACGACGAUAUGGGCCAACGACUACGCUCAAUAACUGCAACAAAGCCUUUUCGCGGCGCGUCUGUCAACGCAAAAACUACGAAUAAUAAUAUAAUAUUACAUCUCAGUGUGAACAGUUCCAUUUCAAAGUAGGGUGAGCGAUAUUUAUAUAUUAUAUUAUAUUAUAUUCCGUAGUUUGAAAUCGACUUAAGCGUUGUCACACUAAUGCGGUUGAGCUACUGAUUUGAAAUCACUGUUUUGGCAAACUGCGAGAAAACUUUGUCACACUGAUUGAGUUUAGAUGGCUGAUGACGUCUUUACGCUCUUUGGCAUGCCAACACUCCUCGUGUCGUUUGUGUUGUGCCACGGUUACAGUUUUCAACAUGAAACGUUACACUAAGCCCUCGAAACCUUUCUAACGUAAAAGAUUUUAUUCUAUUGUUCUAAUAUUUUUUUUUACCUUAUGUAGAUCAUCACAAAAACAAUUACUGUUAAGUAAUAAGAAUUCGUUGAAAAUUGUUUUCAUGAACCAUGUUCACGGAGGUACGUGAUGUAAUUUGUAUACUGUCAAUCCAGUAAUUUUUUUUUGUAUAAAAUAAUAACAAGCAAAAUCUACAAAAUAACACAAUAAAGCGUGGGUGUACGCUCUUAACAUAUUUAAAGUCACUGGCUAAGGGCCCAUGCAAACAAAUCUAAUUUAGACGUAAGUACUAAUUUUCGUUCUAGUAGCUUUCCAAUGUUAUUUGAUCAUGAUUUGCUAGUUAUUCUAAGCAACUUAUAUAAAUUAAAAGAAUUUGCAACGAAUUAUGCAAAUCCUGCUGAUAUAAUAUGCUAGGAAAUUUUUCAAUCACCAAAUAAGCUGAACUGCAAUGGCAAACCAUAGGCAUAUUACGUUCAUGUUUACAUGGCGUAUAUAAUCCGUGCUCGGUGAUGAAUAAGACAAAAGAUAAAAACACAUGACUGUAAAAGAGAUAGCGUUCUACAAAUGUGAACCAAAUAUCCUAGUUUUGUCGUCACUUUAGAUAGGUAACUUCUUUUUAACAUAAAUAUAGGUACUGACGAAUAAAAGGCGAUUUCAAACACAAAACUGUCAAAAUGUGAAGUUUUCCUCAGUCAGUAAUGUUAGCGAUUGAAAAAAUCUGUGAAAAUCUCUUGAAAAGUUAUUUAACGUACGUCCAAAUUCGAUAUGUGUGCAAGAGGCUUAAGAUUUAAAUAUUAUACUUUUUAUGCGGGAUGUAACCGUUAAGCUCAUGGGUCCUAAAUUACAAGCCUAAAAUUAAACUAACUAUACCUAUACCCACACAAGGGUUGAAUGGACAGAGUAAUAAAUCAAAAAGAUUGAUGGUGUACCUCAACAUCUCGGCCUAGAUCUCGGGGGAUAACUUUGGACAUAUCAUUUUACACGAAUAGCGAGAUUUAUUAAAAAGUAGGCCGUCAUCUGUGGACGUUGUUUAACAUUUUUAUGCACGAAAUUAAAAAUAUACCUUUUAUAAUGUAGAUGAUAAUUACUUAAGGAUAACGGUGAUUUUAUCAUAAUUUAUUUUUUAUUGCGCGUUGUUUAAUUUCGAUCUUGAAAAAUAUGUCUUUGAUAUUAUGUACUUUUAUAUAUUUUAUAAUGAAAAAUCAUGCAAUCGUACUGAUUCUAAUGACAACUAAAUUUUAAAGUAUUCCUAUCUUUUUCGUACCAAUGCUGAGAAAAGGACAAACUUAUUUUAAUUUAAAACUGUCAAACCUUGCAUCUUUAGGUGCACACUCAUGAGAAUAGUGUUUAGUAGAAAAGCGCUAAAAUUUUAAUUUUUUAAUUUGAAAUUAAUUUUCCGUUCCUUUUUAGCAACAUUAAAAUACGAAUUAAUGUAGAAUACUAAAAAAAAUUGUUCAGAGAAAUACUCAGAAUCGACGCCAAUAUAUGAUUAAUGCUGAAAUAUGUUAGAUAUGAUAGAUACAAUCAUAUUAAACUUAAACGAUAUACUUUUGUAGUCUCAUAUGUAUUACUUUUAUGCCUGUAUUCAUCUUGGGGAGUUCAGAAUAAGAAAAGAAUAUUUUUAUAAGAUGAUUUUAACUUAAUAAUUACUAUAUUUUUUUUACUUUUGUUAUUACAGCGUUUACAAAGACAAUUAUUUCUCGAGAUAAUCGUUUAUUUUAUUUGUAAUAGAAUUUUUAUACGCCAUUUUUACAAGUAGUGAGAAGAAUUACGUAGAAUGGCGAAAUGUAUGGUUAAUUAUGGAUAUCUUUAUGUACGAUUAUAUUAUGUAAGUAUGAAUAUAGAUAUAUGAUUAUUACGUUAUUUAUUAGGUAUAUUAGUAACACAUAGUUAACUUUAGACAGAUGAGUUAAGAUGAUGAAUUAUACCUUACAAUUCGUUGAUAUGCAUAAUUAUAAGACACCUUGUAAUAUUUAACGUUACCAUACAAAAUUCUUUAAAAUACGACAUAAGUUUAGAUGUAUGGGCUAGUAAGAAAUUUACAUAUUUACACUUAUUUAGGCCUAGUACACAUUGAUAUUCUGUAAAAAAUUUCAAAUCCGUGUGUCAAAAUAAACUACUAACCUUCAAAAUUUAAACUCCGAAUAUAAUAUGAAAAAUAGCUUUGCAAAAUAAAGUAAUUCUGCCUAGAUAUAUAUAAAUAGUUUAUAUACGUGAGUGAGUGCUUAAAUUCAGCUACAUGUAAUAGUGAAUUUUAAAGCUGGAUAAUACUUAUUAACGACUAUUCAAGGUUAUUUCAACUAUAAACCAAAGUAUAUUUGUCUCAUUUAUUUAUUUAAACGAUCUACAUAUUUAGAACUGGACGCUUUACAAAAUCACAUGUAGGUAUAUAAAUAAACAAACAUUUGUUUACACAAAAAAAUUAAAGUACGUCGUUAACAUAAAAAUUGUAAAAAAGUCUUAGCGCUAACAAUGUAAAAAACACAAAUAGAAAUUACAAAAUGGGCGGGAAUCGACCUCUACCAUGAUACCUAUUCACUUCAGCGACUACAUAUCAAAUGUCAUUCUUCUUAUAAUAACUGCAAGCGAGCUUUCAGAGAGAGAAGCCAAAGUGACUAGCAUUCGAGUACACAUGGUAGGUUUUACGCAAAACUUAAAAUUACAAACUGAACAUAAUGGCACUUAAUUUAUAAAACAUAAUCUACUACAAAAAAAAACUUUAGUUACAACUGUCAUAAAUGCUGCCAAUCAUAAUACUUAACUAGAGAAACUUACCUGCAUAU